rnacentral:rRNA from 1 species
CCUACGGGAGGCAGCAGUAGGGAAUAUUGCUCAAUGGGGGAAACCCUGAAGCAGCGACGCCGCGUGAGGGAUGAAGGUUUUCGGAAUGUAAACCCCUUUUAGUAGGGAAGAAAAUGACGGUACCUGACGAAGAAGCACCGGCUAACUCCGUGCCAGCAGCCGCGGUAAUACGGAGGGGGCAAGCGUUACUCGGAAUCACUGGGCGUAAAGGGAGCGUAGGCGGGAGUGCAAGUCAGGAGUGAAAGGCGAGGGCUCAACCCUAGAACUGCAUUGGAAACUGUUCGUCUAGAGUGUGGGAGAGGUAGGUGGAAUUCGUGGUGUAGGGGUAAAAUGCGUAGAUAUUAAGAGGAACAC